rnacentral:tRNA from 1 species
GCCCGGGUGGCUCAGUCGGUUAAGCGUCUGACUUCGGCUCAGGUCAUGAUCUUUCAGUUCACGAGUUCGAGCCCCGCGCCGGGCU